UCUCCCACCCUACCCGAUCCAUACUUGCAUUUCUCCAUCUCUCUCUGCUCUGCUAGGGCCGAACGGCUGCCCUCCGAUGGUCGCCGGCGUGCAGACACCCGAUCAGGAGUACCAGACGCCGCUGAAACUCCAGCCUCGCGAGCCCUUCGUUGUCGUUCUCCGCCACGAGCAGAAGCCUCCAACUGGUGGAGCGGUGGCCUCGCAGGGGUCGCGACGGUGGGGGCAUUGAACAAUCAGAGGUAUGCCAUCGCAGCUGGUGGAGAGGUGGCCUCGCAGGGGUCGCGACGGUGGUCUCUGCUCUAAGUUUCGUAUGAAGUUGUUUGGAGGCUUUGAUGUAUUCCAAUUAUUUGGCUUGGUGUAUUUUGAGAUUUGGGAUUCGUUGGCUUGGUGGCUGUGUGAUUUGGGAUUUAAAUUUUUGCUUGUUUAUCUUAAAAUUUUCUUGUAACUCUAGGAUAUUUUCUAGUUAGUUUAUGAUUUUAUCUUUUGGAUGUUUUUUGUCUUGAGCUGGAAAGUAGUGUAAGGAAACCAGGGCAUAUGGAUCUCUUAAACCAAUGGUUGAUGCUCUUCAAGUGUUUGAGAAAUUGAUGCAAAGAAACUACAGAAUAUGAUUUAAUGAAACUAUGAGUGAUUCUAGUUUUUGUGUGCUCAAAUUACUACUGCCUUUUGUUAUUAUUAUUGUUAGAUGAUUAAAUAUAAUAUAUAUUUAUAAUUAUAUAACUCUUUCGUGGCCUCUCUUUAUUAUAUUGAGCUUUUUCUUAGUAUAUAACAUGGUAGCUACUUGUGUGUAUAUACUGUAUAUAUAUGCUAUACUAUACAUAUGCAGGAGUGCUUAAAUGGAGA